rnacentral:lncRNA from 1 species
UCUUGUAAUUAUUCCCCAUCGAACAUGACCACUUCAUCUUGAAUAUUCAAAUACAGGGUCGCCGGAACCACCGUCUCUGGCGGUCAUUGUUCCAAACCCUUCCAGUUUAAGACCACAGAGCCACUAGGACACCCCCUUCCCCAUCCUGCAUCCCACACCUUUCAAAUCCCCCUCAGUCAUCUGAAAUAUUCUCUAAAAGGUCGUUGGAAACCCUGUCUCCGGCGACCUUGUUCCAAAGCCCUCCAAAUUUACACCCCUAAGGCACCUCAAUCUCCCCGUUCCGACCGUGUAGGUCACCUGUCGAAUCUAUCUGAAACCCAUCGAAUACCAAUUUAAAGCCUAAUUUUAUUAU